UGGCAGAUUACUCAAGCGGCAACGAGAGCAGACUGUAAAUCUGUGGCCUUCGGGCUUCGUAGGUUCGAGUCCUUCAUCUGCCACCAC
rnacentral:tRNA from 1 species